rnacentral:sRNA from 1 species
AAUACAUGAUCAUUGUUUUUGAGUAGUCUAAUAAAUCAUGGAAUUAUUGGUUUGAUCAUUUCAUCAAUGUUGUGGUCUUCUUGAACCGUAAUAAGUGUUUGCUUAGUCUCUGGGUUUUGGAUUGUCAACCUUGAUGCAAAUUUUGGAACCAUUGUCUCAGGUUCCAUCAGAGCCAAUUUGGCCAAGCAUUCAGCAAUAGAACUCCUUACACAUUUGUCCUUCCUUUCACAACACUUCAGUAGUGAAACAAGUAUUUGAACCACAAUAGAAUUGUUGAAGCACGCUACAUCAUGACUAACUAACACCUCCUUUGGUGACUGAAUGAGACGAUAACUCUGUUUAACUUGAACAGACUACCAACAACGAGGUUUCCUAGUGCAUAGGAGGUUGCACACUCUCAACGAACAUCAGAUAGGAAAACUUCGUAACAAUUGUUUUAAUGUUGGCAGUAAUUAAGCCUCUAGUUCUUCCAAUCUUGUCAAGACACAAAGUGGUAAGAUGUUGUUUGUCCUAUAGGAGUUGGCUUUCUUGCCAUCUACAUUAUACGCGACACGUAUUAUGAUAACGUAAAGAAAUUUAUGUUAAUUGAUUGAUCAAAAAUAAAGAAGAAUGAUAGAAAGUUAAGUUGUGAAAUACUCUAGUAUAUCUAAAAAAAUUAUGUUGAUAAAAAAGGCUGCAUGUCGGACUACACAUGUAUAAUGGUCGUUCAAGGAUCAUAUCAUCUUGUUCUUUUUAGCCUAUGUCCAUUCACCUUGUAUUCUUCUUUUUCUUUCUAAUUCCGUCCAUUCUAUAAAAUUCUUUCGAAUGAACCAAAUUCAAUUAAUCUCCUUAAUUUUGAUUAAAAACCAUAAAAUCGUGUUCAGAAACUGCACUUAUGUUAAAUGGAACUGUAAUCAUAAUUCGAGUCUUGGUUUUGUAUUGUGAGAAC